rnacentral:sRNA from 1 species
UCCCGGAAUGGUGAGCGAGCGUCGCGGAA